ACUCUCAUUUAGAAAUCUCUUCAACUAAAUUAUAGUUGAUGUGGUAAAUAACAAAUUUAAUAUGUUACCUUACGAAUAUCAUUUGGAACAUUCUAGUUUCCCUUAUCUCUGUUCUAGGAAAUAUGCUUCCUCCAAGAGAUGAUUUCCUGCUGCAUUUUGCAUCAAUGCUUUUUCCACUGUGUCUUCCUUUCGUAAGCCUAGAUUAACCUAUUAAUUUAAAAAGCCGUAUCUUUCAUGGUGUGCUUGGAAACCAAAUCUGAGUAACCAGACACUUGCACAAGUGAUUUUAUCGAGUGUGUUCUGUUUAUUUAACCACCCCACUUGCUCCUUAUUAUUAAAUUCUUAUGCCCUACCCCAAGACAACACCAUGUACUUUGUAUUGUCCUACCAUACGUUAAAAUGUGUUGUUUAUAACUUUUCCACUUCUUUUGAUCUUUUGGAGCCACGUCCCCUGAACUUCAUGGGCAUCUGUUUGACUACAGGAUGGAAGUCAACAGGCGAGAGGGUUUCAAAAGCAUGAAAGAGCUGAGUCUCUAAGUCCACUGAUGACAGGAAAAUCUUCAGUGGUUCCAGAGACAAGCUGCUGGAAAUCCUGCACAUUUAUCUUCCAGGAGGAAUCUGGCAUCUUCAUGCAACUGAAAGGAUGUUCCACUGAACAGUGACGACUCUGGAGAGAGAAAAGAAAUCACAGAUGGCCAAAUGCAGCUUGAGAGCCACUGAGGGAAGGCCAAGUGAGGAUAGAUCAAGAAGGCAGCUAUCUAUAAGCCAGGAAGAGAAUCUCACCAAAACCCAAAUCGUCUGGCACCUUGAACAUGGACUUCCAGCCUCCAGAAUUCUUCUCCUCUUGAAAGGAAGUCCACAAGUCAUCAGUGGCAUAUAAAUGGAAAACAUCCAAAUUUGAGUUCUUCUCACCACUCAGAAAUAUCAUGCCUCCCAUGUAGUCAAGAGAGGUAAGAAAAUCUUGGUAUUAUUUAUUUCUAAUUUUCUCCUAGAGGUUUCGCUAUUUAUUCUUU
rnacentral:lncRNA from 1 species